GGUUUUGUAUUCAAAAAUGAUUUCAAAUUGCAAAUUUGAAGGUGUAAGGUUUCUUACUAAGGCUU
rnacentral:tRNA from 1 species